rnacentral:rRNA from 1 species
GAUGAACGCUGACCGAAUGCUUAACACAUGCAAGUCAACUUGAAUUUGGGUUUUUACCUUAGGUUUGGGUGGCGGACGGGUGAGUAACGCGUAAAGAACUUGCCUCACAGCUAGGGACAACAUUUGGAAACGAAUGCUAAUACCUAAUAUUAUGAUAAUAGGGCAUCCUAUAAUUAUGAAAGCUAUAAGCGCUGUGAGAGAGCUUUGCGUCCCAUUAGCUAGUUGGAGAGGUAACGGCUCACCAAGGCGAUGAUGGGUAGCCGGCCUGAGAGGGUGAUCGGCCACAAGGGGACUGAGACACGGCCCUUACUCCUACGGGAGGCAGCAGUGGGGAAUAUUGGACAAUGGACCGAGAGUCUGAUCCAGCAAUUCUGUGUGCACGAUGAAGUUUUUCGGAAUGUAAAGUGCUUUCAGUUGGGAAGAAACAAAUGACGGUACCAACAGAAGAAGUGACGGCUAAAUACGUG